rnacentral:rRNA from 1 species
GGGGAAUAUUGCACAAUGGGGGAAACCCUGAUGCAGCGACGCCGCGUGAGUGAAGAAGUAUCUCGGUAUGUAAACUUCUAUCAGCAGGGAAGAAAAUGACGGUACCUGACUAAGAAGCCCCGGCUAACUACGUGCCAGCAGCCGCGGUAAUACGUAGGGGGCAAGCGUUAUCCGGAUUUACUGGGUGUAAAGGGCGCGCAGGCGGGUCGGUAAGUUGGAAGUGAAAUCCAUGGGCUCAACCCAUGAACUGCUUUCAAAACUGUUUUUCUUGAGUAGUGCAGAGGUAGGCGGAAUUCCCGGUGUAGCGGUGGAAUGCGUAGAUAUCGGGAGGAACACCAGUGGCGAAGGCGGCCUACUGGGCACCAACUGACGCUGAGGCUCGAAAGUGUGGGUAGCAAACAGGAUUAGAUACCCUGGUAGUCCACACCGUAAACGAUGAUUACUAGGUGUUGGAGGAUUGACCCCUUCAGUGCCGCAGUUAACACAAUAAGUAAUCCACCUGGGGAGUACGACCGCAAGGUUGAAACUCAAAGGAAUUGACGGGGGCCCGCACAAGCAGUGGAGUAUGUGGUUUAAUUCGAAGCAACGCGAAGAACCUUACCAGGUCUUGACAUCGAGUGACGUACCUAGAGAUAGGUAUUUUCUUCGGAACACAAAGACAGGUGGUGCAUGGUUGUCGUCAGCUCGUGUCGUGAGAUGUUGGGUUAAGUCCCGCAACGAGCGCAACCCUUACCAUUAGUUGCUACGCAAGAGCACUCUAAUGGGACUGCCGUUGACAAAACGGAGGAAGGUGGGGAUGACGUCAAAUCAUCAUGCCCCUUAUGACCUGGGCUACACACGUACUACAAUGGCAAUAUAACAGAGGGAAGCAAUACAGCGAUGUGGAGCAAAUCCCCAAAAAUUGUCCCAGUUCAGAUUGCGGGCUGCAACUCGCCUGCAUGAAGUCGGAAUUGCUAGUAAUCGCAGAUCAGCAUGCUGCGGUGAAUACGUUCCCG